rnacentral:misc_RNA from 1 species
AAGUCGUAACAAGGUCUCCGUUGGUGAACCAGCGGAGGGAUCAUUACAGAGUUAUCUAACUCCCAAAACCCAUGUGAAUUUACCUUUGUUGCCUCGGCAGAAGCUACCCUGUACCUACCCUGUAGCGAGUUACCCUGUAACGACCUACCUGGAACGGACGCAUUGUGGUGAACUGCCGGUGGAUCAUACAACUCUUGUUAUUUUAUUGUAAUCUGAGCGUCUUAUUUUAAUAAGUCAAAACUUUCAACAACGGAUCUCUUGGUUCUG